AACGAACGCUGGCGGCAGGCCUAACACAUGCAAGUCGAGCGGACCUAUCGGGGUCUGCGUCCGCUGGGUGUGUAACCCGUCGGAAUAUGCCCUUCUCUACGGCCUAGCUCUGGGAAUCUGGGGGUUAUACCGUAUACGCCCUAUGGGGGAAAGAUUUAUCGGGGAAGGAUUUUCCCGAGUUGGAUUAGGUGGUUGGUGUGGUUAUGGGCUACUAAGCCGACGAUCCAUAGCUGGUUUGAGAGGAUGAUCAGCCACACUGGGACUGAGACACGGCCCAGACUCCUACGCGAAGCAGCAGUGGGGGAUCGAGGACAGUGGGGUCAACGCUGAACUAGCCAGGCCGGGAGAAUGAUGAAGGCCUUGAGGUUGAAAAGCGCUAGCAGCUAUGAAGAUAAUGACGGUACCAGCAGAAGAAGCCACGGCUAACUCCGUG
rnacentral:rRNA from 1 species